GACGAACGCUGGCGGCGUGCCUAAUACAUGCAAGUCGAACGCAGUGGGGACGGGUGAGUAACACGUGGGUAACCUCCCAUCAGAGGGGAUAACACUUGGAAACAGGUGCUAAACCGAUACUGAUGGAUGGACCCGCGGUGCAUUAGCUAGUUGGGGAGGUCACGGCUCACCAAGGCCACGAUGCAUAGCCGACUUGAGAGGGUGAUCGGCAAAACUGGGAUGUAGAAACGGACCAGACUCAUACGGGAGGCAGCCGUAGGGAUUCGUAGGCAAGGGACGAAAGUCUGACCGAGCAACGCGGCGUGAGUGAAGAAGGUGUUCGGAUCGUAAAACUCUGUUGGUAGAGAAGCGGUAUCUAACCAGAAAGCCACGGCUAACGACGUGCCAGCAGCCGCGGUAAGUC
rnacentral:rRNA from 1 species